rnacentral:lncRNA from 1 species
GGGGUGCGGAAAGGGGAUAGAGGGGGGAGGGGCGGAGGGUACCACAGUGAUGUUGCUGGAGCCUCCAUGACUGUGCCAUCCAUGGAAGGGUAAUAUAACAUUAUGACAGGCUUCUAGAGACUACGGUCUGGGCUUAAGCCUCUCUCUGCUGGUGCUGGCUGCUGAGCCAUUAGUGACUUCUCGGGUUCUUUAAACCCUAGUUUCUUCUUACUAAAAAGAAGAAUCCCUCCCCUCCCUUCUGGCGAAAGGGGCUGUAGUGGUUUGAAUGGACGAGCCCCCGUGGGCUCGUAGAUUUGAAUGGUUGGUCACCAGGGAGUGGCACUAUUUGAAAGGAUUGGGAGGUGUGGCUUUGAUAGAGAAAGUGUGCCACUGGAGGUGGGCUUUGAGAUUUCAAAAAGCCAAGCCAGGCCCAAUGGAUCCCAGCAUAGAACUCUCAACUAUGUCUCCAUCAGCAUGUCUACCUGUGUAGAGCCAUGCUCCCCACCAUGAUGAAAGUGGGCUAACCCUCUGAAACUGUACACCAAUCCUAAUUAAUUCUUUUAUAAGAGUUAGUGUGGUCAUGGUGUCUCUUCACAGCAAGAGAACACUGACUAAGACCAGGGUUUUACAGUUCUCAUAGCAGGUGUUGAAGCUGGUCCAGUACCACCACCUCCAGGGCUCCUCAAGUCUGCUUCUGCAUAGAAGAACCAAGGAAGGUUCUGAUUGGCCCUGUUUAGAUCACACACUCAUCUCCAG